CCUACGGGGGGCUGCAGUAGGGAAUCUUCCACAAUGGGCGAAAGCCUGAUGGAGCAACGCCGCGUGGGUGAAGAAGGUCUUCGGAUCGUAAAACCCUGUUGUUAGAGAAGAAAGUGCGUGAGAGUAACUGUUCACGUUUCGACGGUAUCUAACCAGAAAGCCACGGCUAACUACGUGCCAGCAGCCGCGGUAAUACGUAGGUGGCAAGCGUUAUCCGGAUUUAUUGGGCGUAAAGGGAACGCAGGCGGUCUUUUAAGUCUGAUGUGAAAGCCUUCGGCUUAACCGGAGUAGUGCAUUGGAAACUGGGAGACUUGAGUGCAGAAGAGGAGAGUGGAACUACAUGUGUAGCGGUGAAAUGCGUAGAUAUAUGGAAGAACACCAGUGGCGAAAGCGGCUCACUGGUCUGUAACUGACGCUGAGGUUCGAAAGCGUGGGUAGCAAACAGGAUUAGAUACCCUGGUAGUC
rnacentral:rRNA from 1 species